AUUGAACGCUGGCGGCAGGCCUAACACAUGCAAGUCGAGCGGAUGAAGGGAGCUUGCUCCUGGAUUCAGCGGCGGACGGGUGAGUAAUGCCUAGGAACCUGCCUGGUAGUGGGGGAUAACGUCCGGAAACGGGCGCUAAUACCGCAUACGUCCUGAGGGAGAAAGUGGGGGAUCUUCGGACCUCACGCUAUCAGAUGAGCCUAGGUCGGAUUAGCUAGUUGGUGGGGUAAAGGCCUACCAAGGCGACGAUCCGUAACUGGUCUGAGAGGAUGAUCAGUCACACUGGAACUGAGACACGGUCCAGACUCCUACGGGAGGCAGCAGUGGGGAAUAUUGGACAAUGGGCGAAAGCCUGAUCCAGCCAUGCCGCGUGUGUGAAGAAGGUCUUCGGAUUGUAAAGCACUUUAAGUUGGGAGGAAGGGCAGUAAGUUAAUACCUUGCUGUUUUGACGUUACCAACAGAAUAAGCACCGGCUAACUUCGU
rnacentral:rRNA from 1 species